AUGAACGCUGGCGGCGUGCCUAAUACAUGCAAGUCGAGCGAACGGACGAGAAGCUUGCUUCUCUGAUGUUAGCGGCGGACGGGUGAGUAACACGUGGAUAACCUACCUAUAAGACUGGGAUAACUUCGGGAAACCGGAGCUAAUACCGGAUAAUAUUUUGAACCGCAUGGUUCAAAAGUGAAAGACGGUCUUGCUGUCACUUAUAGAUGGAUCCGCGCUGCAUUAGCUAGUUGGUAAGGUAACGGCUUACCAAGGCAACGAUGCAUAGCCGACCUGAGAGGGUGAUCGGCCACACUGGAACUGAGACACGGUCCAGACUCCUACGGGAGGCAGCAGUAGGGAAUCUUCCGCAAUGGGCGAAAGCCUGACGGAGCAACGCCGCGUGAGUGAUGAAGGUCUUCGGAUCGUAGAACUCUGUUAUUAGGGAAGAACAUAUGUGUAAGUAACUGUGCACAUCUUGACGGUACCUAAUCAGAAAGCCACGGCUAACUACGUG
rnacentral:rRNA from 1 species